UUUAUAUAUUUGCUGCUGAUUUAAAAUAUAUACACUUAUUUCCCCUAGAAAUAGUCUGCCUAUCAAAAUUCUUGAGAGAUUCUGUUUUAAAAGACACGGUAAAGUUUUAAGUGCGACAGAGUCCCUCCCUCAUUGCUGCUACCGUGCUUUAAAUGACUUUUAAAUACGAAAUGCAAGCAUAUUCUUUGUUUGGCUAUAUGACAAGCCAAGUGCGUGGCCAUGCAAGUUUCUGACAUGGACAUAUUUAUUUUUCUUCUGGAUAAUAUAAUCAUUUAACACAAUUCUCUGUUACCUAGACUGACUGUUUCACAGCACAUUCGUAUACUUUUACAGCAAAUCAUUUUGACUGACUGUUUCACAGCACAUUCGUAUACUUUUACAGCAAAUCAUUUUGACUGACUGUUUCACAGCAGAUUCGUAUACUUUUACAGCAAAUCAUUUUGACCGACUGUUUCACAGCACAUUCGUAUACUUUUACAGCAAAUCAUUUUGGAUGGAACAUGUGAGAAAUCCUUUUGACCUUUGUUACAUUGACCCAUUUAAAAGAUCACUAUUAAGCAAACUUUGACUGAGAGUUUUUUAAUGAUGCAUGUGUUACGAAUCAGUGCAGCGAACGAGUGUACUUAGCGAUCCUUCACAGAGAGGAAAUGAUUAACCGUACAAUAAGGUCCCCACAAUGUAGGGAAAACUUACGCCAUCAGAGGUCCCCACAACGCCAUCUGCGUACGUAU
rnacentral:lncRNA from 1 species